CAACCCUCAAGCCCUGCUUGGUGUUAGGCCACGCCCGCCGCGGCCGGCCCUAAAGACAGUGGCGGCGCCGCCCGGCUCUCAGCGUAGUACCUCUUCUCGCUGCGGCGCCUGGCGGUGGCAUGCCAGAACCCCCAACUCUGU
rnacentral:misc_RNA from 1 species